rnacentral:rRNA from 1 species
GAUGAACGCUGGCGGCGUGCCUAAUACAUGCAAGUCGAGCGAACAGACGAGGAGCUUGCUCCUCUGACGUUAGCGGCGGACGGGUGAGUAACACGUGGAUAACCUACCUAUAAGACUGGGAUAACUUCGGGAAACCGGAGCUAAUACCGGAUAAUAUAUUGAACCGCAUGUUCAAUAGUGAAAGACGGUUUUGCUGUCACCUAUAGAUGGAUCCGCGCCGCAUUAGCUAGUUGGUAAGGUAACGGCUUACCAAGGCAACGAUGCGUAGCCGACCUGAGAGGGUGAUCGGCCACACUGGAACUGAGACACGGUCCAGACUCCUACGGGAGGCAGCAGUAGGGAAUCUUCCGCAAUGGGCGAAAGCCUGACGGAGCAACGCCGCGUGAGUGAUGAAGGUCUUCGGAUCGUAAAACUCUGUUAUUAGGGAAGAACAAAUGUGUAAGUAACUAUGCACGUCUUGACGGUACCUAAUCAGAAAGCCACGGCUAACUACGUG